UAGCCAAGUUGGUUAGAGCGCCGCCCUGUCACGGCGGAGGCCGCGGGUUCGAGCCCCGU
rnacentral:tRNA from 1 species